rnacentral:rRNA from 1 species
GACGGAGGGUGCUAGCGUUGUUCGGAUUGACUGGGCGUAAAGGGCGUGUAGGCGGUUGGCCCAGUCCGGUGUGAAAGCCCGAGGCUUAGCCUCGGAAGUGCAUCGGAAACUAGCCGACUGGAGCGCGAUAGAGGAGGGUGGAAUUCCUGGUGUAGCGGUGAAAUGCGUAGAUAUCAGGAGGAACACCGGCGGCGAAGGCGGCCCUCUGGAUCGUUGCUGACGCUGAGACGCGAAAGCGUGGGGAGCAAACAGG